UGCUCUUAAGUAUAGCAUGUACAGUUGUCUUCCAAACAAAAGGGUUCGAAUUUCGAAAAGAGUAA
rnacentral:tRNA from 1 species